rnacentral:rRNA from 1 species
CUGGUUGAUCCUGCCGGACCCGACUGCUAUCGGAGUGAGACUAAGCCAUGCGAGUCGUGCGCUCCGGGCUGGCGGAGCGCGGCGUACGGCUCAGUAACACGUGGUCAACCUACCCUGCGGACGGCUAUAACCCCGGGAAACUGGGGCUAAUAGCCGAUAGGGGAUAGGUGCUGGAAGGCCCUGUCCUCGAAAGGCCUAACCACCCAUGCCGUGGUUAGGCGCCGCAGGAUGGGACUGCGCCCUAUCAGGUAGACGGUGGGGUAACGGCCCACCGUGCCUGUAACGGGUGCGGGCCCUGGGAGGGGGAGCCCGGAGAUGGGCACUGAGACAAGGGCCCAGGCCCUACGGGGCGCAGCAGGCGCGAAAACUCCGCUAUGCGCGAAAGCGCGACGGGGUCACUCCGAGUGCCGCCCGCUGAGGGCGGCUUUUGCCCAGUCCAAAAGGCUGGGCGAAUAAGGGGAGGGCAAGUUUGGUGUCAGCCGCCGCGGUAAUACCAACUCCCCGAGUGGUCGGGACGAUUAUUGGGCUUAAAGCGUCCGUAGCCGGCCCGGUGUGUCUCUGGUCAAAUCCGGCGUCUCAAGCGCCGGACCGCCGGAGAUACUACUGGGCUAGGGAGCGGGAGAGGCGGGCGGUAUUCCCUGGGUAGGGGUAAAAUCCUAAGAUCCAGGGAGGACCAUCGGUGGCGAAGGCGGCCCGCUAGAACGCGUCCGACGGUGAGGGACGAAAGCUGGGGGAGCGAUCCGGAUUAGAUACCCGGGUAGUCCCGGCCGUAAACGAUGCAGGCUAGGUGUGUGGACGCCUUAGGGGCGUCCAUGUGCCGAAGGGAAACCGUUAAGCCUGCCGCCUGGGGAGUACGGCCGCAAGGCUGAAACCCUAGGAGGCCCUUAACUGAUAUAAUGAGGAAGGGUUCUCCUAGGGCAGCACACUUAAAGGAAUUGGCGGGGGAGCACCACAAGGGGUGGAGCCUGCGGUUCAAUUGGAGUCAACGCCGG